rnacentral:rRNA from 1 species
AUAGCUUUCCAAUUAAAAAAUAGAGUUUCAUUCCGAAAGGCAAUGAAAAAAGCCAUUGAAUUAACUAAAAAAGCAGAUAUAAGGGGAGUAAAAGUAAAAAUUGCGGGUCGUCUCGGAGGAAAAGAAAUUGCAUGCGCCGAAUCCAUUAAAAAGGGUAGACUUCCCCUCCAAACAAUUCGUGCUAAAAUUGAUUAUUGCUGCUAUCUAAUUCGGACUAUCUAUGGAGUAUUAGGUGUAAAAAUUUGGAUAUUCAUAGACGAAGAAUAA